rnacentral:rRNA from 1 species
GACAAACGCUGGCGGCAUGCCUAACACAUGCAAGUCGAACGGACAGAACAGGGAAGCUUUUCGGAGUGGAACUGGAAAGUUAGUGGCGGAUGGGUGAGUAACGCGUGGACAACCUACCUUGUAAAGGGGAAUAACCUCGAGAAAUCGAAGCUAAUACCCCAUAAUAACCUUGCUUCGCAUGAAGUAAGGAGGAAAGGCGGCCUUAGCGCUGUCGAUACAAGAUGGGUCCGCGUCUGAUUAGCUAGUUGGUGAGGUAAAGGCUCACCAAGGCGACGAUCAGUAGCCGGCCUGAGAGGGUGAACGGCCACAUUGGGACUGAGACACGGCCCAAACUCCUACGGGAGGCAGCAGUGGGGAAUCUUCCGCAAUGGGUGAAAGCCUGACGGAGCAAUGCCGCGUGAGUGAAGAAGGCCUUCGGGUUGUAAAACUCUGUCCUUAUCGAAGAGAGAGUGUUGUAGUAACUGACAAUACUAGGACGGUAGAUGAGGAGGAAGCCCCGGCUAACUAUGUGCCAGCAGCCGCGGUAAAACAUAGGGGGCAAGCGUUGUCCGGAAUCACUGGGCGUAAAGGGCGCGCAGGCGGUAAAUUAAGUCAGGUGUGAAAGUUCGGGGCUCAACCCCGUGAUUGCACCUGAUACUGAUAAACUAGAGUGUUGGAGAGGUAAGUGGAAUUCCUAGUGCAGCGGUGGAAUGCGUAGAUAUUAGGAGGAACACCAGUGGCGAAGGCGACUUACUGGCCAAUAACUGACGCUGAGGCGCGAAAGCGUGGGGAGCAAACAGG